GGUCCGGUAGUUCAGUUGGUUAGAACGCCAGCCUGUCACGCUGGAGGUCGAGGGUUCGAGUCCCUUCCGGAUCG
rnacentral:tRNA from 1 species